CACUGCCGAGAAAAGCCUCUAGAUAGAAAAUAGGUGCCCGUACCGCAAACCGACACAGGUAGUCAAGAUGAGAAUUCUAAGGUGAGCGAGCGAACUCUCGUUAAGGAACUCGGCAAAAUGACCCCGUAACUUCGGGAGAAGGGGUGCUCUUUAGGGUUAACGCCCAGAAGAGCCGCAGUGAAUAGGCCCAAGCGACUGUUUAUCAAAAACACAGGUCUCUGCUAAACCGUAAGGUGAUGUAUAGGGGCUGACGCCUGCCCGGUGCUGGAAGGUUAAGAGGAGUGGUUAGCUUCUGCGAAGCUACGAAUCGAAGCCCCAGUAAACGGCGGCCGUAACUAUAACGGUCCUAAGGUAGCGAAAUUCCUUGUCGGGUAAGUUCCGACCCGCACGAAAGGCGUAACGAUUUGGGCACUGUCUCAACGAGAGACUCGGUGAAAUCAUAGUACCUGUGAAGAUGCAGGUUACCCGCGACAGGACGGAAAGACCCCGUGGAGCUUUACUGUAGCCUGAUAUUGAAAUUCGGCACAGCUUGUACAGGAUAGGUAGGAGCCUUUGAAACGUGAGCGCUAGCUUACGUGGAGGCGCUGGUGGGAUACUACCCUAGCUGUGUUGGCUUUCUAACCCGCACCACUUAUCGUGGUGGGAGACAGUGUCAGGCGGGCAGUUUGACUGGGGCGGUCGCCUCCUAAAAGGUAACGGAGGCGCUCAAAGGUUCCCUCAGAAUGGUUGGAAAUCAUUCAUAGAGUGUAAAGGCAUAAGGGAGCUUGACUGCGAGACCUACAAGUCGAGCAGGGUCGAAAGACGGACUUAGUGAUCCGGUGGUUCCGCAUGGAAGGGCCAUCGCUCAACGGAUAAAAGCUACCCCGGGGAUAACAGGCUUAUCUCCCCCAAGAGUUCACAUCGACGGGGAGGUUUGGCACCUCGAUGUCGGCUCAUCGCAUCCUGGGGCUGUAGUCGGUCCCAAGGGUUGGGCUGUUCGCCCAUUAAAGCGGUACGCGAGCUGGGUUCAGAACGUCGUGAGACAGUUCGGUCCCUAUCCGUCGUGGGCGUAGGAAAUUUGAGAGGAGCUGUCCUUAGUACGAGAGGACCGGGAUGGACAUACCUCUGGUGUACCAGUUGUCGUGCCAACGGCAUAGCUGGGUAGCUAUGUGUGGACGGGAUAAGUGCUGAAAGCAUCUAAGCAUGAAGCCCCCCUCAAGAUGAGAUUUCCCAACUUCGGUUAUAAGAUCCCUCAAAGAUGAUGAGGUUAAUAGGUUCGAGGUGGAAGCAUGGUGACAUGUGGAGCU
rnacentral:rRNA from 1 species